ACAUAUCCGGAGGGUACUUUCUUGUCAAGUCUUUGAACCUCUCCGAAGCCUCAUAAAGUGUUUCACCAUCUUACUGUUUGAAGAUUUACACCUCAGUUCUCAAUCU